UGGAGUUCAGACGUGUGCUCUUCCGAUCUCUGAACUUAAGCAUAUCAUUAAGCGGAGGACAAGAAAACAACUGUGAUUCCCUGAGUAACGGCGAGUGAACAGGGAAGCAGCCUAUGCUUGAAUCUGUGGUGGAAGGAACCGGAAGCCACAGAAUUGUAGUGCAAGGGCUUAGACUACAUGCGCCCGCGGCAGAUAGAUGAAGCGCGAUGGAAAUCGCCACCAAGGAGGGUUAUAGUCCCGUAUCUGUCUAUCGCGCCGUGGGAGUUCCCGAAUGGGGUGUGUCUGGGUUCCAAGAGUCGUGCAGUUUGAGAGUGCUGUACUAAUCCGGAGGUGUACUUCUCCGAAGGCUAAAUAUUGCACCAAGUCCGAUAGCGAACAAGUAGUGUGAACGAAAGAUGAAAAGCACUUUGGAAAGAGAGUGAAAAAGCCUUUGACAUCGUUGGGCGCCAAGGGUAAGGGACCCGUGAUAGAGUUCUAGUCCUGAGGCUUGUAAAAAGCAUGGGACGUCAGCGACAGCUGCGGAGGUCUGCAUGCCGGGUGCUGUUUCCGGUUCUCCUUUGUGGGAACCGGAGAGGCCCUGGACGGUGCCGUGCUUCCGCGGCUGGGAAAUGUUAGAAGGUGUGCUUCGCGGUGCGAAGUCCUGGGUGGGAGGCCAGGGUGUGAGCGUACGCAGCUACGGUUGCGUGCCUUAUUAUCUUGGUAGAUAAAUAGAUCUUACCUGCACUCGUAUUGACGGAGCCGCCGCCGCUGGCACUCCCCGUCUCGACGGGGGAACACGAUCCUUUACCAACCGUCUCGAAACACGGACCAAGGAGUCUACCGAAUGUGCGAGCGUUCUGGUGAUCGAAACCACACGACGCGCAAUGAAAGUGAGAACCUGUGAAAUAGCCGGUGGAACACCUUUACGGGGGACGGCUAAUUUACCAACAGGGCUCGGUCCCAAUCUUUUUGAAACGGAUCUGAAGCAAAGCACAUUCGCUGGGACCCGAAAGAUAGCGAGCUUUUCCUGGGCCGAAGGAAGCCAGACGAAAGUUUGGUGGACGUUCGAACGCAGUCCUGACGUGCAAAUCGGUUGUCAGAUCCAGGUAAAGAGGCGAAAGACUAAUCGAGCUAUCUAGUAGCUGGUUCCGCCUACGAAGUUUCUCUCAGGAUAGCAGAUCCCUUAUCACGAGUUGCGUCAGGUAGAGCAAAUGUUCGGUGAGGUUGGGGAAUUUAUUCCUCGCCCAACGUCACAAACUCCAAAUGGGCGCGGGACUCGGCCUUCUUAUUUGAGGCCGAGGCUAGAAUCGUGGGAUCUAGUGGGCCACAUUUUGGUAAGCAGAAUUGGCGACGCGGGAUGCACCGAAAGCGGACCUAUGGUACCUAAGCAGCUGCUAAUUAGACCCCAUGAAGAGCGUUAGUUCAUCUGGACAGCAGGAAUGUGGUCAUGGAAGUUGAAACCGUCUAAGGAGUGUGUAACAACUCACCUGCCGAAUGGGCAAGCCUCGAAAAUGGACGAUGCUGAAGCAGCUCACCUAUGGUACGCCGGUCUUCUGGUAAAUGUAAGAUAAACCAGGACCGUGUAGGGCGGCGUGGGGCACGCGAAGAAGCGUUUGGCGUAAGCCUGCGUGCUAGCGUGUAUUCCCAGUGCAGAUCUUGGUGGUAGUAGCGAUUACUCUGUAGAGAUACACAGAGGAUUGAAGCGUGUUAGGUUUCCAUGUGAACAGUACUUGGACAUGGGUCAGUCGGUCCUAACCCCAGAGGAAGACCUCCUUGGAAAGGUCGGGGAGCCAGUCGUUCACGCGGCUGGGGCACUCACUCGGCAGUGGGGGAAAGGGAAUUCGGGACAAGAUUCCGAAACCGGCUCGUGGGGAACGUCCGGUCGCUUCACGGCGGCCGGCGAAGAGGCUUUGAAGCAGCUGACGACGGUGGGUCGCCAGGGUAGUGUAGCCUGUGGAGAGUUAUCUUUUCUCUUUGACGUAGCUGACGCCUUGAAUAUCAUUUCAGGUGGAGAAAGGCGUCUGAACACAUAGAGAAAGCGGCGCGCCUUUUUAGUGCCGUUCUAGGUGCCUUCACUAUCCUUCCGAAAGCCCCACCUGAGAUCACCAAACACACGGUCGUGCCGCUUGCGCGCUGCCUCGGUAGUGCGCGGGUGCGUGCGGUCGUGGCUUCCUUUACGGGCUCGUCCGUACCAACAACCGCAUCAGGAACACGAGAUGAAAAGUCUCUGGUCAAUGGAGCAAUGUAUCCAAGGGAAGUCGGCAAAAUAGAUGCGUAACUUCGGGAGAAGCAUUGGCUCCAAGGGCUGGAUGGGGCUGCGCCGGUAGAGGCGUGCGUGUCCGCCUUACUAUGACCAGCCGCUGCUUGCUCACGCGAGCGACGGCAGGUUGUGGUGAGGCUGCGUACGUCGGACUUGUCCCAACUGUCUGCCGGAUUGUGGCCCUGUUGCGAACAGCUAAUUUGGAACUGGCGCUGAGAAGAGGAAUCUAACUGUUUAAUUGAAACAUAGCAUGGAGAGACGCAUAUUGAGGUCGUCGUGGGCUCCAGGUGCGUCCUGCCCAGUGCUUAGCUGUCAAUGCGAAGAGAUUCUACGAAGCUCGGGUAAACGGCGGGAGUAACCAUGACUCUCUUAAGGUAGCCAAAUGCCUCGUCUUCUAAUUAAAGACGCGCAUGAAUGGAUUAAUGAGAUUCCUACUGUCCCUGGGUACUAUCCAGCGAACCCACAGUCAAGGGAACGGGCUUGAAGUCUUCAGCGGGGAAAGAAGACCCUGUUGAGCUUGACUCUAAUCUGGUAUCGUGCAGUGACAUCCGAGAUGUAGAAUAGGUGGGAGGGCAACCAACAGUGAAAUACCACUGCUCGGAUCGUUGCUUUGCUCAUCGCAUUGUAUGAGGACGGCGGCCGCCGGGGCAACCCGGUCAUGGGAGUACCUGAUGCCGCAAGGUGUUUAGGGCUCUCGGGUCUGUACCGUUUUGUGAGGUAAGUACGUUUAUCGUGCGACUCAUGGUUGCGAGACAUUUGCCAGAUGGGGAGUUUGGCUGGGGCGGCAUAUCUGUUAAACUUUAACGCAGGUGUCCUAAGGCACGCUCCGUGAGAACAGAAAUCUCACGUAGCGGGUAAGGCUAAAAGCGUGCUUGAUUGCAUGACCUUCAGUACUGGUCCUGACCCUGAAAGGGAGGCCUAACGAUCCUUUUGCCCCAUUAUUGUUCAAAGUACGAAGCAAGAGGUGUCAGAAAAGUUACCACAGGGAUAACUGGCUUGUGGCCGCCAAGAGAUCUGAUCGACGCUGCUUUUUGAUCCUUCGAUGUCGGCUCUUCCUAUCCUUGCCCCGCAGCCGAGGCAAAGGGCCCGAUUGUUCACCGGUUAACUAGGGAACGUGAGCUGGGUUUAGACCGUCGUGAGACAGGUUGGUUUUACCCUACUGAAGAGUAAGAACCAAUCAACCUUGUGUUGUUUGCAGUUCAAGGCGUGUUAAAGGUAGUGUCGAGUAGUACGAGAGGAACGUCGACUCCACACUUCUGGUUUCUGCCGCCAUUUGACCAAAUGCGCGGCGAAGCUACGUGUGCUUGCUAACGGCUGAAGGCCUCUUAAGCCGG
rnacentral:rRNA from 1 species